UGAGGGGUUUUUAGUGGGUAGGCAGCCCCGCGGGACUGAAUCCCACAUAACCUAGCCGACAAUGAACAUCGUCGGCACAAAAUCCAGCACAACAUCGGCUGAGUAUCUUUGGAAGAUUUUCCCCUCA
rfam:Dendroctonus ponderosae Seq01039920, whole genome shotgun sequence.